rnacentral:rRNA from 1 species
UCGCGGCCGGCUGAAGUAUUUUUUUCACCCAUGUCUUUUGCGCACUUGUUGUUUCCUGGGCGGGUUCGCCCGCCACCAGGACCAAACCAUAAACCUUUUUUUCUUAUGCAGUUUCCAUCAGCGUCAGUAAAAACAAUGUAAUUAUUACAACUUUCAACAACGGAUCUCUUGGUUCUGGCAUCGAUGAAGAACGCAGCGAAAUGCGAUACGUAGUGUGAAUUGCAGAAUUCAGUGAAUCAUCGAAUCUUUGAACGCACAUUGCGCCCUUUGGUAUUCCAAAGGGCAUGCCUGUUCGAGCGUCAUUUGUACCUUCAAGCUUUGCUUGGUGUUGGGCGUUUUUUUGUCUCCCUCUUUCUGGGAGACUCGCCUUAAAACGAUUGGCAGCCGGCCUACUGGUUUCGGAGCGCAGCACAUUUUUUGCGCUUUGUAUCAGGAGAAAAGGACGGUACUCCAUCAAGACUCUACAUUUUUCACUUUUGACCUCGGAUCAGGUAGGGAUACCCGCUGAACUUAAGCAUAUCAAUAAGCGGAGGAA